ACUUCCAGCGGGCCAGCCAGCGGCACAAGGUGACGCCCGGCUGCGGCGGCAUCCAGCAGCCGCGCGAUGAGCAGACGAGCGACCUCUGCGCCGACAACGAAUGCAAGAGGGGACGCUGUGUUCCCAAUAAGUCCAGCAACACAUACCGAUGCAAGUGCAAGCGAGGGUGGAGCGGAAAACUUUGCGACAGAGCGCCACGCUGCCGCCGCGAGCAGAACCGCGACUACAUCCGCGAGAACGGCUGCCGCUCCCGGCGGCCGGUGCGCCAGGCGCGCUGCGUCGGCAGCUGCGGGCGCGACUGCUGCCAGCCGCGCCGCGUGCGCCAGCGGCGCGUCAGCUUCAUCUGCAACGACGGCACGCGCUACCGCAAGGUGGUGCCGGUGGCGCGCAAGUGCCGCUGCCGCCGGCGGAAGAAGUGCCAGUAGGCGUGGCCGGCGGUCGGACGGG